rnacentral:rRNA from 1 species
ACAUGCCUACAAGAUAGCGUUAAUGCACCGGAUCCCAUUGGAACUUUGCAAUUAAGCGCGCUCAAGAUAGAGUAGUACUAGGAUGGGUGAUCGCCCGAGAAGUCUUAUUGUUUUACAUGCC